rnacentral:rRNA from 1 species
UACGAAGGGGGCUAGCGUUGCUCGGAAUCACUGGCGUAAAGGGUGCGUAGGCGGGUCUUUAAGUCAGGGGUGAAAUCCUGGAGCUCAACUCCAGAACUGCCUUUGAUACUGAAGAUCUUGAGUUCGGGAGAGGUGAGUGGAACUGCGAGUGUAGAGGUGAAAUUCGUAGAUAUUCGCAAGAACACCAGUGGCGAAGGCGGCUCACUGGCCCGAUACUGACGCUGACGACACGAAAGCGUGGGGAG